GAUCUACUCCCUCCGUCCGGAAAUACUUGUCCUAGAAAUGUAUGUAUCUAGACUUACUUUAGUUAUAGAUACAUCCAUUUUAUUCAUUUCUAGGACAAGUAUUUCCGGACGGAGGGAGUAUCAU
rnacentral:pre_miRNA from 1 species